CGCUCAGCCCCAGCACCCGCUGCCUGCGAGCCUUUAACAUGGACCACACAUGCUCCCAAAAGCAGCCUUGAGCCACUUGGGCUGCACCAGGCCCAGGGACAACAAAAUGUGGGGCAGGUUUCUUCAGGUCUCCCUCUGUCUCACAGAGUGGUCCAGAGACAGGAUUAUUGCAGAAGAGCUCACCAUCACCUUGACAUCCAAGUGUCUGUUUGAAGACAAAAACUAGUGCAGAAGACACCAUUUUCCUUGGGUAAUCUGUUGUGAUC